rnacentral:rRNA from 1 species
UACGAAGGGGACUAGCGUUGUUCGGAAUUACUGGGCGUAAAGCGCGCGCAGGCGGCUUUUUAAGUCUGAUGUGAAAGCCCACGGCUCAACCGUGGAAGGUCAUUGGAAACUGAAAGGCUUGAGUACAGAAGAGGAAAGCGGAAUUCCACGUGUAGCGGUGAAAUGCGUAGAGAUGUGGAGGAACACCAGUGGCGAAGGCGGCUUUCUGGUCUGUAACUGACGCUGAGGCGCGAAAGCGUGGGGAGCAAACAGG